rnacentral:rRNA from 1 species
CACGGGGGGUGCAAGCGUUGUUCGGAAUCACUGGGCGUAAAGGGCGUGUAGGCGGUUCGGUAAGUGUGAUGUGAAAUCCUCCGGCUCACCCGGAGACCUGCAUCUCAAACUGCCGGACUAGAGUAUGGGAGAGGACAAGGGAAUUCCUGGUGUAGCGGUGAAAUGCGUAGAUAUCAGGAGGAACACCGGUGGCGAAAGCGCUUGUCUGGCCCAAUACUGACGCUGAGGCGCGAAAGCUAGGGGAGCAAACGGG